CCAUGGAAGUAGAAAGGAGCAGGGGACUGUUAGCAGCAUAGGAUUGAGGAGUUGGAAGAGACCCUUAGAACAGCUGGUCAUUAUGCCGAUGGGGUGUCCGCACUAAGUUCGGCAUCAAUAUGGUGACCUGGGAGUGGGGGACCACCAGGUUGCCUAAGGAUGGGUAAACUGGCCCAGGUCAGAAAUGGAGCAGGUCAGAACUCCCAGGUAGAUAGGUAGUGGGACUGUGCCUGGGCAACACAGCGGGACCUUGGCUCUUUAAAAACAUGCAAU
rnacentral:sRNA from 1 species